rnacentral:rRNA from 1 species
AGCCGGUGCGCGGCUACACAUGCAAGUCGAGCGAGCUCUUCGGAGCUAGCGGCGGACGGGUUAGUAACGCGUGGGAACGUGCCCUUCACUGCGGAAUAGCCACUGGAAACGGUGAGUAAUACCGCAUACGCCCUUCGGGGGAAAGAUUUAUCGGUGAAGGAUCGGCCCGCGUUAGAUUAGAUAGUUGGUGGGGUAACGGCCUACCAAGUCUACGAUCUAUAGCUGGUUUUAGAGGAUGAUCAGCAACACUGGGACUGAGACACGGCCCAGACUCCUACGGGAGGCAGCAGUGGGGAAUCUUGGACAAUGGGCGCAAGCCUGAUCCAGCCAUGCCGCGUGAGUGAUGAAGGCCUUAGGGUCGUAAAGCUCUUUCGCCAGAGAUGAUAAUGACAGUAUCUGGUAAAGAAACCCCGGCUAACUCCGUGCCAGCAGCCGCGGUAAUACGGAGGGGGUUAGCGUUGUUCGGAAUUACUGGGCGUAAAGCGCACGUAGGCGGAUCAGAAAGUUGGGGGUGAAAUCCCGGGGCUCAACCCCGGAACUGCCUCCAAAACUCCUGGUCUUGAGUUCGAGAGAGGUGAGUGGAAUUCCGAGUGUAGAGGUGAAAUUCGUAGAUAUUCGGAGGAACACCAGUGGCGAAGGCGGCUCACUGGCUCGAUACUGACGCUGAGGUGCGAAAGUGUGGGGAGCAAACAGGAUUAGAUACCCUGGUA